GUUCCCUUUGUUUCUCAAGUCACGUUUCUUUUUGCAGACUGUAUCUAGUUCAUACCAACUAGCUUCGCAGACUGGCUUGCAGGGUUCAGGUUGGCAGUUGCAGAGUUUAACUUCCUCAAUACCAUCUGCCUCGGUUGGUGUGAUUAGAGACCACCCACAGCAGUCUUCGCAGGACCCUAUUGCUGAUCAAUCUGCAUCUCCUCCUCGUGAAUUGGGUUUGUUCCCACUAAAACCUUCCAAAAGACAGAGGAGGGAAUGAAGACAGAUGGUAUUGUGAUAUACAAGGAGAUUUGUUUGUAGUGGACCACUGGUUCUAUGUUUUUUUCUUUUGGAUCUAUUUUUUUGUGUUCAGAAUGUUGAACAAACAAUUCUUUGGUUGUUGACUUGGUGGCCAUAAAAAUAUGGAUGAGUUAUCUUUAGCUUC